AUUGAACGCUGGCGGCAUGCUUUACACAUGCAAGUCGAACGGCAGCGCGGGCUUCGGCCUGGCGGCGAGUGGCGAACGGGUGAGUAAUACAUCGGAACGUGCCCAGUAGUGGGGGAUAGCUCGGCGAAAGCCGGAUUAAUACCGCAUACGACCUGAGGGUGAAAGCGGGGGAUCUUCGGGCCUCGCGCUAUUGGAGCGGCCGAUGGCAGAUUAGCUAGUUGGUGGGGUAAAGGCCUACCAAGGCGACGAUCUGUAGCUGGUCUGAGAGGACGACCAGCCACACUGGGACUGAGACACGGCCCAGACUCCUACGGGAGGCAGCAGUGGGGAAUUUUGGACAAUGGGCGAAAGCCUGAUCCAGCAAUGCCGCGUGUGUGAUGAAGGCCUUCGGGUUGUAAACCGCUUUCGCCUGUGACGAAGCGUGAGUGACGGUAAUGGGUAAAGAAGCACCGGCUAACUACGUG
rnacentral:rRNA from 1 species